AGUGAGACUAGAGUCACAUCUAAUCCUUGCCUGUGGUUAAGGUGUGCUAGAGUACUCACAGAAUAAUUGCCAAUCUAUUCACUGACUGUUUCUUAUAAACUAGUCAGUCACCAGGUUGGUAACAUUU
ensembl:snoRNA